GCUUGCUCCCUUAGGUCAGCGGCGGACGGGUGAGUAACACGUGGGUAACCUGCCUGUAAGACUGGGAUAACUCCGGGAAACCGGGGCUAAUACCGGAUGCUUGAUUGAACCGCAUGGUUCAAUCAUAAAAGGUGGCUUUUAGCUACCACUUACAGAUGGACCCGCGGCGCAUUAGCUACUUGGUCAGGUAACGGCUCACCAAGGCGACGAUGCGUAGCUCGACCUGAAUAGGGUGAUCCGCCACACUGGGACUGAGACACGGCCCACACUCCUACGGGACGCAGCAGUACGGAAUCUUCCGCAAUGGACAAAAGUCUGACGAAGCAACGCGGCUUGAGUGAUGAAGGUUUUUUGACCGUAAAACUCUGUUGUUAGG
rnacentral:rRNA from 1 species